AGAGUCUCCAUCACCAUCUCCACAGUGGUGGCUCAUUGCAGUGAUUCUUGAGAUCCUCUGUUUGGCUUUGCUGACAACCGCAAGGAUCUUUGGUGCCAACUCCUCUCAGCUGUCCUGCCUGGAAGCCAGCGAGCAUGACAACCUCACCCAGCAGAGGGAAAACCUGUAGAACCUCACCCAGCAGCUAGAGCUUCUACAAGCACAGAACUUAAACCUUUCAAAGGCUGUCCAGCAGCUGGCAAGCUACCGAGGCUCCAAAUGCCGCCUAUGUCCAGAUAAAUGGUUACAGCACGGAGAGGAUUGCUACCACUUUUCUAAUGAAUUUAAAAUUUGGCAAAAGAGUAAAGAUUAUUGUUCUUCACUAGCUUCCAAGCUGCUUCAGAUAGACAGCAAAGAAGAACUGGUAAAUAUUUAUUUAUUUUUGAAUACUGGUCAACAUAA